GAUGAACGCUAGCGGCAGGCUUAACACAUGCAAGUCGAGGGGUAUUGGUUUUCGGACCAAGAGACCGGCGCACGGGUGCGUAACGCGUAUGCAAUCUACCUUUUGCAGAGGGAUAGCCCCAGAGAAAUUUGGAUUAAUACCUCAUAGUAUAGUACUUUGGCAUCAAGGAACUAUUAAAGUCACAACGGCAAAAGAUGAGCAUGCGUCCCAUUAGCUAGUUGGUAAGGUAACGGCUUACCAAGGCUACGAUGGGUAGGGGUCCUGAGAGGGAGAUCCCCCACACUGGUACUGAGACACGGACCAGACUCCUACGGGAGGCAGCAGUGAGGAAUAUUGGACAAUGGGCGCAAGCCUGAUCCAGCCAUGCCGCGUGCAGGAUGACGGUCCUAUGGAUUGUAAACUGCUUUUAUACAGGAAGAAAUACUACUUCGUGAAGUAGCUUGACGGUACUGUAAGAAUAAGGAUCGGCUAACUCCGUGCCAGCAGCCGCGGUAA
rnacentral:rRNA from 1 species